GUCGCCGUGGUGUCGCCGUGUCGGCUGAGUUCCUUCUCCGCCGUCGCAUCUGAGACUCGAGAGUGUGUGUGUGUGACCAUUCGUCGGCCUCAGUCGCCGGACGACGCCUUCCUGCCUUGCUGUUCGCCUUCAACUCCCCCGAGGCGACGCCCGGGUAACCACGGCGGUGCUGCGGCCGUCCAGGCCAUCCCCGGCCGCAUCGCAUUAGAGGAAGGAGCUGCUGCCCGCGGUCCUUCCCAAUGCUAGCUCCCCACCUCUGAUUGGAGACAGCUGCUGGCCUCUGGGAGGGAGUGCGCCUGCUCCUGCUGCGGCCUCACUGCUUCUCCUCCUUGCCGCCAUCACCGGCGCUCGGCGUUGGUUGAUGUAGCUUCCGAAGCUCCGCCGUCACCCGCAUCUGGUGCUCCAGCUGGAGAGAUCCCCAAGACAAGUCUUGCACGUCGAUCCCGCUGCAGUGCAGCGACCGGCGAAGCAGCUGCUGCAACAGGGAAGCUCGGCUCAGCCUCAGCUCGACCAGCAACUGUGGAGCAGAAACAUGGUGGAUUACCGCCGCAUGGGAAUUAUGGAGCAGCACUACUCGCGGAAUGCAACAUCAACAACAUCCUUCCUGCAUCAGCUGAGAGGUCUGUGGAAGAGCCCAAGGGGGACGGUACUUCGUGUAGAGGCUUUGGCACUGGCGGCUAUUGCCUUCUCUUUCUUGCUUGUUGCAUUGGGAGCCUGCCGCCGUUGGUCUAAGCGCUGGAUCAUCCAAAAAGGCUUCUUGGCUGCAAAUGUGUUAUCUAUAUCCCUUGGGACAUACAGUAUUGGUCUAAUGCAAUCCUCUUCGGUGAAGAGCGAGAUGUAUCCCGUAUGGGCCGUGUCCUUGCUCACCCUCUUCGGCUGCGUCGACCCAGUUACUUCCUACAACGGUCUUGACUACAAGGGCCCACUCUCAAAGAUGAUAUUUCAGCUCUGCCUAUAUUGUGGAUAUGUCCUGCUGAUGAGUAUCUCAACCAUCUCCAGUGAUGUUGGUAACAUAGCCAUCGGUGUGCUGUCUGCUGUCAACUUUUUCAAGGGCUUUCAUAGGUCGUUGGCGCUUGUGCUGCCAAGAAGAAUGCGAAAAAUGAUAAGGCACCUUAAAUCUGAUGCCGAAACAAAUGCUAUAUCAGAUCUUGAUGAUUAUGACUAUGCAAUAGUAUCAGACUUGGUAGUUGAUUUCCCCCUAGACAUGGAUGACCCAAAGCAGAGCUUUUAUUCAAUAUUAGUGCGUGAUGGAGUUUUGAGGAAUAAUAUCAGUUCGAGCUGCGAAGACAUGGUUAAGCUACGGAUAAAUGUCGGUGACUGUCAUGAUGUGUGCACUGCCUUCGCUCUGUCUCAUUUGUUGCAACGGCAUUUCAUUGGAUUGAGUGACGCUUCGGAAAGGAAGAACGAUAUUUCAUAUCAGAUUGCUUCAGACUUCAAUCGAGCCUUUAAGGUGAUUGAGGUUGAGCUGGCUUUUCUAUACGAUAUCUUCUUCACAGGUAAUGCAUUCCUUCACUACUAUCAAGCAAAGACUGCUAGUUUCUGGGCAUUCGCUUCAUUCAUCGGAAUAUGUUUUGUUGGGGUGGCGGCUGCCAUCCCUGGGACGAUGACUAGCCGCCAUAGUGCUUCUCUUGGUCCUGGUGCUGGCACCAUCACGACAGCAGAUCUCACCGUUACUCUUGUCAUAUUGGUGUCCCUGGCUCUGCUGCAAUUGUUGCAACUAAUCCGGUGCUGGACAUCAAAUUGGGCGAGAGUUGCAUUUGCCUGUGGGCACGCCAGGAACAUGCAGAAAGGAACCAGACAGCCGCUAUGGUGGAUGAGAUUGAAAGGGUUUCUAGUCACCAGGAUUAAUUGGUUUGACAAAUACCUGUGGCAAGAUGAGCUCGGCCAGCAUUCAGUAAUUGAAGCGAGCAGCAGGAAAGAAGGCAAGCUGUUAUUCAGCCGGAGUGGCCGUCUUUAUGUGAAGUGUGCUCGCUUUCUUCGGAUGGUUGGAUUGCAGUACGUUGGAGAGGUGGUCUGGGAACUGGUGGGCAGCGACAGUAGCACAGGGCCUGCUGUUAGGUUGCACCCCGAUGUGAAGGGCUCCAUUGCCGAGCUCCUUGGUCGGGUUCAUAAUGAUACAAUAGGGGAGAGUUGGUCGUCCUUGUUUGUUGCUAAUGGAGUAGAUGAAUGGCACCUUCCCCAUUGGCAUUUCGACAAUCCUGCAGGUGCAGAACAGCUCUCAUAUUGCUGUUUGUACACACGUUCUGUUAUGAUGUGGCAUGUUGCGACAUGCUACUGCGAACUAGCAGAGCAGGCGAAGCAGAAGGAGCACACAGGAGCAGAAGAAAAGAGUCGGCGCGUGGCCCUGGCUCUGUCCAAGUAUUGCGCCCACUUGCUGGUGUCAGCGCCAGAGUUGCUACCUGGCACGCUUCAGAAAAGGAAAGAAACGUAUGAUGGUGUUGAGUCGGAAGCAAGGAAAGUUCUUCAAGGGGCCAAAGACAAGCUUGAGGCAAUGCAAAGCGAACCCCAUAUCGAUCUCGACAGCCCUAGCAGCAUCUUCUGGGACGGUGUGCGUCUUGCAAAGCAACUUUUUUGUGGGGACAUUGGGGAUCCCUGGAAGCUGCUGGAAGUUUUCUGGGUCCAGGCGUUGCUCUACGCCGCGCCGUAUGGCGACGUGGAGGUGCAUAUGCAGCAUCUCUCGCAGGGUGGCGAGCUCAUCACCCAUCUCUGGGCAUUGUUGUACCACGCCCACAUCUACGGCUGGAAAACUGUAGAGAGAUGGGGAGGGAAGCCGAUGAAGUUGGAGACCGAGGAGGUAGAAGAGAAUCCCAAGGAUGGUGGACAGUUCAAGGGUGACCUUAACACCUGUUCAAAAGCAGAUGAUAAUCCGAGGGGUUCAAUUCCUCUUCAAAGUGCCACCGGCAUAGAAGAGAACUCCAUGGACAUGGAUUCCGAGGUUGAGAUCGAGGAUGACAUCAGUUCCUGUUCAAAAGAUGAUAAUCCGAAUAGGAUUUCAGUUCCUGUGCAAGCUGACAUCCGAUGGAUGUAGCCAUGUAUGACAGAGACAGACUGAGGAGGACUUUAGUUCCUGUUUACAGCGGCUCAGUCUGGUCACCUGAGACCUUUUCAGUCUUCUAAGUAAUGUUUUCUCUCAGAUUUUAAGGUACUCGCAAAUGAAUAUGGACCAUCCAUCGGAGACAAAGGACAGCUGAUGGGGAAGGACUUGCUGCCGCCAGGCCGGGAGUGGACGUCGUCGCCGCUGUUCGGAGGAAGAAGGGCUCGCCGCCGUCGUCGGGGAAGGAGCUGUCGUGGAAGGUGUGGCUAGGAGCGCCUAGGGCGAGCCACACCACUGCUGGGGGCACCAUCCGUGCGAGGUGAGGUCGCAUGGGGAAGGUUGCGUUGCCGCCGCAAGGACCAUCACCGCCUCCUAGGGCCAUCGACGCCAUCACCGGAGGGAGGGAUAGGGAGGGCGGCAGCGCGGCGGCGGAAUCUUUGACCAGACGGAGGGGCGCCACCGCCUCUGGAGUUAAAGGCCCGU